CAAGUGUCCUCGGAGAGGCAUUUAAUUGGCACAGAAGCACAGCAGCUCCGUGACCCUCCCCGCAAACACUCGCGGCCAAGAACAGAAGCGGCUCCCCUACCUUCCUGCGUCUGCUGCGGCGGUGGAGACUCCGCGGUGGAGGUCAGGGUGUCGCCCCCCGACGCAGGCCCCAGUGGUGCCAUCACCUCAUUUUUAAUAAAAGUGCCCCUGCCAAAGCAACUGUAAAGGGAAAUCAAGAUCCCCUCUUUGUGUCUCUUGAUCUCCACCAGACUUGAAGAACCUGUAGUUCUUAGAGCUGGAGGAUACUACUGAAUUUCAAGGAUUAUGGGUGUGAAACAACUAUGCAGACACCAAGGUCAGUGAAGGGCAGAGGAAAAAGAGGAAGAGUUUGAUCAAGAAGCCAGUCCUUUGGCAAAGAAAUGUGAGGAAGGAGCGAGAGAAAUCGGACAUGAAGCAGAAACUACCCGGUCCCUGACCUCAUCAGAACUUGGAGACAUGCGGAAAGAUGACAGCUGCCAGCCAGGUGAGCAGAUUGCUGCCUGGCUGCUCCGAAGCUGGGGUAACAGGGCCAACAGUCAGCAAUUGGGAGGUAAGGAAGUGCAACAGUGGGGAUCCCUUGCUAGAAACCAGGGAAUUGAGAGAGGAAUUGGAAAAGAGGCAGUGAUUUGCAGUCUCUGGAGAUGGUGCCUCUGAAGUGUGAGGCCAAGAUACAUGUUUAAGGAAGAUCUUGUGAACUACCCAGGAAAGCGGACAACCGUGGAUGAAGGCAUCCACUACCUGAGAGAAUUAGUGGUACUCUAAGUCAUCUACAGUGAUCUAGACAAUGAUGAGGUCUUCAGAGAUCCAGAGGAAGUCCUGUGCACACAGGCCACGUGGAGGAAGGUGAUUCAAAAUGCCCAUAUUCUCCACCAAGUUCUAUCCAUGGCACAGGGAGAAAAG